GGGCCUCUCUACAAAGAAUGUGCCAUGCCAUGGACAAAUGGCAUGGGCACACACAUAUGCAUGUGCAUGGGUUGAAGAGUGCAUUUAACUCCCUUUUUUCUUUCUUAUAAAAACAGAAUAAGAAAAUCUUUACUCUUUUCCCAUUAUCUCCUUUUUUUUAAAAAAAAAUAGAAGAGGAAAGUUGAUAACUUUCCUUCUUUUCCACAGUCCUUCUAUGGGAUCUCCCC
rnacentral:lncRNA from 1 species